GGAAAUAAACCCAGCAGGGAAGCAAUCCAGCAGGGAGGUGACCGA
rnacentral:SRP_RNA from 1 species